GCGAUAGUGGCGUAGUUGGUAACGCACGACCUUGCCAAGGUCGAGACCGCGGGUUCGAGCCCCGUCUAUCGCU
rnacentral:tRNA from 1 species